GACGAACGCUGGCGGCGUGCUUAACACAUGCAAGUCGAACGGAAAGGCCCUGCUUUUGUGGGGUGCUCGAGUGGCGAACGGGUGAGUAACACGUGAGUAACCUGCCCUUGACUUUGGGGUAACUUCAGGAAACUGGGGCUAAUAUCGGAUAGGAGCUCCUGCUGCAUGGUGGGGGUUGGAAAGUUUCGGCGGGUGGGGAUGGACUCGCGGCUUAUCAGCUUGUUGGUGGGGUAGUGGCUUACCAAGGCUGUGACGGGUAGCCGGCCUGAGAGGGUGACCGGCCACAUUGGGACUGAGAUACGGCCCAGACUCCUACGGGAGGCAGCAGUGGGGAAUAUUGCACAAUGGGCGGAAGCCUGAUGCAGCAACGCCGCGUGCGGGAUGACGGCCUUCGGGUUGUAAACCGCUUUCGCCUGUGACGAAGCGUGAGUGACGGUAAUGGGUAAAGAAGCACCGGCUAACUACGUG
rnacentral:rRNA from 1 species